GAUGAACGCUGGCGGCGUGCCUAAUACAUGCAAGUCGAGCGAACAGACGAGGAGCUUGCUCCUCUGACGUUAGCGGCGGACGGGCGAGUAACACGUGGAUAACCUACCUAUAAGACUGGGAUAACUUCGGGAAACCGGAGCUAAUACCGGAAAAUAUAUUGAACCGCAUGGUUCAAUAGUGAAAGACGGUUUUGCUGUCACUUAUAGAUGGAUCCGCGCCGCAUUAGCUAGUUUGUAAGGUAACGGCUUACCCAGGCAACGAUGCGUAGCCGACCUGAGAGGGUGCUCUGCCACACUGGAACUGACACACGUUCCAUACUCCUACGGGAGGCAGCAGUAGGGAAUCUUCCGCAAUGUGCGAAAGCCUGACGUAGCAACGCCGCGUGAGUGAUGAAGUUCUUCGGAUCGUAAAACUCUGUUAUUCGGGAAGAACAAAUGUGUAAGUAACUAUGCACGUCUUGACGGUACCUAAUCAGAAAGCCACGGCUAACUACGUG
rnacentral:rRNA from 1 species